AUCGCGCUUUAGCUUUUGCUGAGGUGAGGAAAGUCCGGGCAGCACAGAGCGCCGUACCUUAUGAAAAUGAGGGUUUCGAUUUAAUCGGAAACAGAGAGUGCCACAGAAAAUAAACCACCUCAAUUUUUGGGGAAAGGGUGAAAAGGCGAGGUAAGAGCUCACCGCUCCUUAGGUAACAAGGGAGGCAUGGAAAACCUUACGGGCUGAAAGGUCAAAUAAACCGGAGAUAAAGUUGCUCGCUUUUCCGGAGGGUAGACUGCUAAGAUAAAUGAUAGAAAUUCGCUUUGUCGAAUACAGAACCCGGCUUAUAGAUUUACUUU
rnacentral:RNase_P_RNA from 1 species